rnacentral:rRNA from 1 species
AACGAACGCUGGCGGCAUGCCUAACACAUGCAAGUCGAACGAGACCUUCGGGUCUAGUGGCGCACGGGUGCGUAACGCGUGGGAACCUGCCCUUAUGUUCGGAAUAACUCCCCGAAAGAGGUGCUAAUACCGGAUAAUGUCUUCGGACCAAAGAUUUAUCGCCUUUGGAUGGGCCCGCGUUGGAUUAGCUAGUUGGUAGGGUAAAAGCCUACCAAGGCGACGAUCCAUAGCUGGUCUGAGAGGAUGAUCAGCCACACUGGGACUGAGACACGGCCCAGACUCCUACGGGAGGCAGCAGUGGGGAAUAUUGGACAAUGGGCGAAAGCCUGAUCCAGCAAUGCCGCGUGAGUGAUGAAGGCCUUAGGGUUGUAAAGCUCUUUUACCCGGGAUGAUAAUGACAGUACCGGGAGAAUAAGCUCCGGCUAACUCCGUG